rnacentral:rRNA from 1 species
AUACAGAGGGUGCGAGCGUUAAUCGGAAUUACUGGGCGUAAAGCGCGCGUAGGCGGCUUAUUAAGUCAGAUGUGAAAUCCCAGGGCUCAACCUUGGAACUGCAUCUGAUACUGGUAAGCUAGAGUUUAGGAGAGGGAAGUAGAAUUUCAGGUGUAGCGGUGAAAUGCAUAGAGAUCUGAAGGAAUACCAGUGGCGAAGGCGACUUCCUGGUCUAAAACUGACGCUGAGGUGCGAAAGCGUGGGUAGCAAACGGGAUUAGAAACCCUUGUAGUCC